rnacentral:rRNA from 1 species
UACGUAGGGGGCAAGCGUUGUCCGGAUUUACUGGGCGUAAAGAGCGUGUAGGCGGCCAGGCAGGUCUGUUGUGAAAACUGGAGGCUCAACUUCCAGACGUCGACAGAAACCGCUUGGCUAGAGCCCGGAAGAGGAGAGUGGAAUUCCUGGUGUAGCGGUGAAAUGCGCAGAUAUCAGGAAGAACACCGAUGGCGAAGGCAGCUCUCUGGGACGGUACUGACGCUGAGACGCGAAAGCUAGGGGAGCAAACGGG